rnacentral:pre_miRNA from 1 species
GUAAUACUCCCUCCGUUCGGAAUUACUUGUUUUGGAAAUGGAUGUAUUUAGAACUAAAAUACAUCUAGAUACAUCCAUUUCUACGAUAAGUAAUUCCGAACGGAGGGAGUAAUAU